rnacentral:misc_RNA from 1 species
GUCGCAUUGGUUCAACAUAAUUUACUACCAACAAAGAAUGAAACCACAGAUGAAAUCUAUCAAAUUAACAUCCCACAAUCCAGAUAAUUAAAACAUAUAAUGUUAUACUGGACUAGGUUCACUUCUCGCAACUUCAAGUCUCAUUUCAGAGAAAAAGGUCUACCGGCUAAGAAACCAUUUCAGUUCAAGCGUUCACCAUAUUGAACUGGAACCUCGAUAGUUGUUGCGGGAUAGUAGAGAUAACAGGCCCAUAUCUCUGAACAUUGUCGUAGAGUUCAAAUAAUGGAACAGCAAGUAACUUUAGGUUUCUUGGAACGGCGAAGUAUUCCCUCUCCGACAGGUGAACAAGGAACAGCUUCUUGCAUUCCUUGGGCUUAGUGAUGUGGGGUGGGCAGUAUGGAUACAUUAUUGUCUCAAAGUUUGGCCUCCACCAGACAGCAACACACUCACCAAUCUGCCAAUUCGGCUGAUGCGAAGGUGAAUUAGCAGCCAGCUUGCUGGAGAGCUUCCGCUUCAAGCCUUCGAUUUCAUUCUCUCCAGGCUUUAGCCGUCCACCAGGGAGUUUGCAAAAUGUAUUCCCAAUUUGCAGAAGCAAUAUAUGUGGAUGGUUGUGCUCCUGCACCAGAAGAAUUGCUUCGACACUUGUCCGCAUGCCUUCUUUCAUAUAGUUGAUUUUCAUCCGGGCAAGGCGAUCGGCGACGGAGGUGUCCUUCUCCAUUUUCGGUUCCUUCAUCCCGAAAGUGUAGCUCGUCAGCGGGUACGUGUUCACCGUCGGCGACGUCACCAUCUCAACAGACGGCAGAGGCGGCGGCGGUAAACGAGAAAGGGGACGGAGCUGCUCCGGCGGGGCGAGACCGGCGUCGAUCGAGGGGAAUAACCCGGCG